rnacentral:rRNA from 1 species
GAUGAACGCUGGCGGCGUGCCUAAUACAUGCAAGUCGAGCGAACGGACGAGAAGCUUGCUUCUCUGAUGUUAGCGGCGGACGGGUGAGUAACACGUGGAUAACCUACCUAUAAGACUGGGAUAACUUCGGGAAACCGGAGCUAAUACCGGAUAAUAUUUUGAACCGCAUGGUUCAAAAGUGAAAGACGGUCUUGCUGUCACUUAUAGAUGGAUCCGCGCUGCAUUAGCUAGUUGGUAAGGUAACGGCUUACCAAGGCAACGAUGCAUAGCCGACCUGAGAGGGUGAUCGGCCAAACUGGAACUGAGACACGGUCCAGACUACUACGGGAGGCAGCAGUAGGGAAACUUCCGCAAUGGGCGAAAGCCUGACGGGGCAACGCCGCGUGAGUGAUGAAGGUCUUCGGAUCGUAAAACUCUGUUAUUAGGGAAGAACAUAUGUGUAAGUAACUGUGCACAUCUUGACGGUACCUAAUCAGAAAGCCACGGCUAAAUACGUG